GGAGCUCUGGCGGUACAGUGGUUAAGUGUUCGGCUGCUAACCGAAAGGUUGGUGGUUCGAACCCAUCAGCUUCU
rnacentral:tRNA from 1 species